AAAGACUUAGUCCUAACCUUGCUGUUAACUCUUGCUAAACAUAUACAUGCAAGUAUCCGCGCCCCAGUGUAAAUGCCCUUAAUUUCUUACUAAGAUAAUAGGAGCUGGUAUCAGGCACACCCACCUAGCUGUAGCCCAAGACACCUUGCUCUGCCACACCCCCACGGGCACUCAGCAGUAAUUAACAUUAAGCAAUAAGUGUAAACUUGACUUAGUUAUAGCAUACCUCAGGGUUGGUAAAUCUUGUGCCAGCCGCCGCGGUCAUACAAGAGACCCAAGCUAACAGCAUCCGGCGUAAAGAGCGGGUACAUACUAUCUAGGCAACUAGGAUUAAAUCGCAACUGAGCUGUCAUAAGCCCAAGAUACGCCUAAAGCCAUCCCCAAGACGACCCUAGCGCCCACGAUUGACUAACCCCCGCGAAAGCCAGGGCUC
rnacentral:rRNA from 1 species